rnacentral:lncRNA from 13 species
AUGGCCGUCUUCUUCCUGGUCUUUUACAAGUACCAGACCCAGAAAGAGCCAUCACUAUACGAGAGUCCCUCGAGUGUGGAAAUAAUGCCAGAUGCUGUCAAGCUCCACCUCACUGAGGAAAAGCUACGGAAACAGAUACCUCAGCUUUUGCCUUCUGCCAUGCAGACUGAUGAAGUAAGCACAAUCUCGUCUCUGAAAACCAACUCCCAGGAAAAUAGACUAACCAGAGCUACAACAGUUUGCAUAAACAAAAUGUGUAUCUCUGAAAGAACAUCGUGGCAAGUAUCUUCUAUGGAUGAGAAAAGUAACUGCCGAGUGACUGAUCAGGUGACAUUUCCCUACUUGGAGAAAUGGCGUGAACAAAGAACUUGAAGAUAAGAACAUUAAGUUAUGAAGUUUCAAUCUGGUUCUUUAUUUUCCCCAGUGAUCCCAAAAUUUAUUUUUAUCUCUAGCACACACAAAGAAGCUAUUUUUCCUUCCUUCUGACCUGUAAUAUCUCUAGCCAUAUUGUGUAGUGUCACUUUGCUGUCAUUCAACACACAAAAGCAGAUGUCCCCUUUCCCUCUUUUCCACCUUUUGUUGUCCUUGCUACAGAUUUUUCAGUUAUUCUUUGAUGGGCCCAAGGCAAUUUCAAUCUAUCAGCCUUUCCUUUUUAUGCACAUUCAGGGACUACAAUGAGAUGGGAAAUGGGGUAAGGAGAGAGAAGUAAGGCAUCAUAUUCUGAAAUAUGAAAUCAACAAUAAGUUGAGAAAGUGAUAGGUAGCGCUUAGCGAAACAUACUGCAGCGCUUCUAAGAAAAAGAGAACAGCUGCUGAUACAUAUUAUCUGGGAAGACUUUCUUAGGAAAAAAAAAGCAAGAAUUGUGAUCAGAACCAUUAGGAUUUGGCGCCAUCCAAGUCCUUUUCUCUUUCUUUCACAGUACCAGUGUUAACGGAGCACACAGUUGCCUGGCUGAAUUGGACAGGACCCAGUCUGUCUCUUAGCUAAUGGCACAGAUGGUGAUUAACCUCUCAACAAUGACAUAUGAGUGGAGAUGAUGCCUAUAACUUUGAGUAACUAUCUUAAAAGAAAAUUACCUUUCAUUUCCUUCCUUUUCCCUUCUCUCAGACUAGAACAUGAUGAGACAGUGACCCAGUUUUGACUUAAAGGAUGAGAAAUAGAUAUUUUGAGAUAAAAAAGUAGAUGGAACUGAAUUUCCAGAAUGUUCUCAUCAGGGAAAGCACCUGUCAGCCUGAAUAACUUAUGUUCUGUGAGAAGAACUACAAUUUUGUAUUAUUUAAACAACUGUUUUUUCAGGUCUGUAUUUCAGCAUGAGAGCCUCCACUUUAACUGAAACAGAGGUUUAAGUAUAAACCUGAUAUAUAGCUGAAAAUCUGAACAGAUACUAUGUUAACACUCAAAUAGACAAUGAGGAUAACCAAGAGUGUCUCACAGUCCAUUGAAAGGGUAGGUCUGGUCUCUCCUCAUCAAGGGUGACUAAAGAGGAAGUCAGAAUGGUGGGGGUAAAAUCAUUUAUGUGAUCCUAUAUGUAAAGGAAAUUAAUAAUGUUUUGAAAUGUUUAAUACUAAAAAUUAAGAAAGGACUUUGAAUCAUUUGCAUAUGUUAUCAGGAGAAGAUAAAAUAAAAGACUGGACUAUAAGAGAGAAAAUAAAAUA